CAGCGCGGGGCAACUGGCGGCGAGCGGCGAACGGGUGAGUAACAUAUCGGAACGUAUCCAUAAGUGGGGGACAACCUGGCGAAAGCCAGGCUAAUACCGCAUACGCUCGAGAGAGGAAAGUGGGGGAUCGCAAGACCUCACGCUUUAGGAGCGGCCGAUAUCAGAUUAGCUAGAUGGUGAGGUAAAGGCUUACCAUGGCGACGAUCUGUAGCUGGUCUGAGAGGAUGAUCAGCCACACUGGGACUGAGACACGGCCCAGACUCCUACGGGAGGCAGCAGUGGGGAAUUUUGGACAAUGGGGGCAACCCUGAUCCAGCCAUUCCGCGUGAGUGAAGAAGGCCUUCGGGUUGUAAAGCUCUUUUGUUCGGGACGAAACGGUUAAGGUUAAUAACCUUGACUACUGACGGUACCGGAAGAAUAAGCACCGGCUAACUACGUGCCAGCAGCCGCGGUAAUACGUAGGGUGCGAGCGUUAAUCGGAAUUACUGGGCGUAAAGCGUGCGCUGGCGGUUUUAUAAGCCAGAUGUGAAAGCCCCGGGCUCAACCUGGGAAUGGCAUUUGGGACUGUAAGGCUGGAGUAUGGCAGAGGAGACUAGAAUUUCCUGGUGGUAGCCAGUGAAAAUGCGUUAGAUUUUCAGGGAGGAAUACCCGGAUGGGCGAA
rnacentral:rRNA from 1 species